CCUGAGAAACGGCUACCACAUCCAAGGAAGGCAGCAGGCGCGCAAAUUACCCACUCCCGGCACGGGGAGGUAGUGACGAAAAAUAACGAUACGGGACUCAUCCGAGGCCCCGUAAUCGGAAUGAGAACACUUUAAAUCCUUUAACGAGGAUCUAUUGGAGGGCAAGUCUGGUGCCAGCAGCCGCGGUAAUUCCAGCUCCAAUAGCGUAUAUUAAAGUUGUUGCGGUUAAAAAGCUCGUAGUCGGAGGUGUGUCUCGGACGGUCGGUUCGCCGCUUGUCGGUGCUCAACUGGCCGGUCCGGACGUCCUGCCGGUGGGGCUGUAAAAGGCUCCGUUAUCCUUACGUGGUCCUCUUCAUUGAGUACCUUGUUGGGCCGGCACGUUUNNNNNNNNNNNNUUAGAGUGCUCAAAGCAGGCCGUUGGUACAGCCUGAAUACUGUGUGCAUGGAAUAAUAGAAUAGGACCUCGGUUCCAUUUUGUUGGUUUUCAGAACUCGAGGUAAUGAUUAAUAGGGACGGACGGGGGCAUUCGUAUUGCGAGUUAGAGGUGAAAUUCUUGGACCGUCGCAAGACGAACCGAUGCGAAAGCAUUUGCCAAGAACGUUUUCAUUAAUCAAGAACGAAAGUUAGAGGUUCGAAGGCGAUCAGAUACCGCCCUAGUUCUAACCAUAAACGAUGCCAGCCAGCGAUCCGCCGAAGUUCCUCCGAUGACUCGGCGGGCAGCUUCCGGGAAACCAAAGCUCUUGGGUUCCGGGGGAGGUAUGGUUGCAAAGCUGAAACUUAAAGGAAUUGACGGAAGGGCACCACCAGGAGUGGAGCCUGCGGCUUAAUUUGACUCAACACGGGAAACCUUACCAGGCCCAGACACCGGUAGGAUUGACGAUUGAGAGCUCUUUCUUGAUUCGGUGGGUGGUGGUGCAUGGCCGUUCUUAGUUGGUGGGCGAUUUGUCUGGUUAAUUCCGAUAACGAACGAGACUC
rnacentral:rRNA from 1 species